AGAGUUUGAUCCUGGCUCAGAACGUACGCUGGCGGCACGCCUAAUACAUGCAAGUCGAACGAAGUAGCAAUACUUAGUGGCAGACGGGUGAGUAACAUGUAGGUAUCUACCCUUUGGCCUGGAAUAACACGAGGAAACUUGUGCUAAUACCGGAUAAGUCUUUACGGAGAAAGCUUUAUGCACCAUUGGAUGAGCUUGCACUUGAUUAGUUUGUUGGUGGGGUAAUGGCCUACCAAGACAAUGAUCAAUAGCUGAUUUGAGAGGAUGAUCAGCCACAUUGGGACUGAGACACGGCCCAAACUCCUACGGGAGGCAGCAGUAGGGAAUCUUGCACAAUGGAGGAAACUCUGAUGCAGCGAUGCCGCGUGAGUGAAGAAGGCCUUUGGGUUGUAAAGCUCUUUCGUCGGGGAAGAAAAUGACUGUACCCGAAUAAGAAGGUCCGGCUAACUUCGUGCCAGCAGCCGCGGUAAUACGAAGGGACCUAGCGUAGUUCGGAAUUACUGGGCUUAAAGAGUUCGUAGGUGGUUAAAAAAGUUGGUGGUGAAAUCCCAGAGCUUAACUCUGGAACUGCCAUCAAAACUUUUUAGCUGGAGUAUGAUAGAGGAAAGCAGAAUUUCUAGUGUAGAGGUGAAAUUCGUAGAUAUUAGAAAGAAUACCGAUUGCGAAGGCAGCUUUCUGGAUCAUUACUGACACUGAGGAACGAAAGCAUGGGUAGCGAAGAGGAUUAGAUACCCUCGUAGUCCAUGCCGUAAACGAUGUGUGUUAGACGUUGGAAAUUUAUUUUCAGUGUCGCAGCGAAAGCGAUAAACACACCGCCUGGGGAGUACGACCGCAAGGUUAAAACUCAAAUGAAUUGACGGGGACCCGCACAAGUAGUGGAGCAUGUGGUUUAAUUCGAAGAUACGCGCAGAACCUUACCAACACUUGACAUGUUCGUCGCGACUCUAAGAGAUUAGAGUUUUCGGUUCGGCUGGACGAAACACAGGUGCUGCAUGGCUGUCGUCAGCUCGUGUCGUGAGAUGUUGGGUUAAGUCCCGCAACGAGCGCAACCCUUACUUUUAGUUGCCAUCAUUUAGUUGGGCACUCUGAAAGAACUGCCAGUGAUAAGCUGGAGGAAGGUGGGGAUGACGUCAAGUCCUCAUGGCCCUUAUGUGUUGGGCUACACACGUGCUACAAUGGUAUCUACAACAGGAAGCAAGAUGGCAACAUUAAGCAAAUCCCAAAAAGAUACCUCAGUUCGGAUUGCACUCUGCAACUCGAGUGCAUGAAGCUGGAAUUACUAGUAAUCGUGGAUCAGCGUGCCACGGUGAAUACGUUCCCGGGUCUUGUACACACCGCCCGUCACACCAUGGGAGUUGGUUCUACCUUAAGGCAAAGUUUAAAACCUUUGACCACGGUAUAGUCAGCGACUGGGGUGAAGUCGUAACAAGGUAACC
rnacentral:rRNA from 1 species